rnacentral:tRNA from 1 species
AGUCUCGUAGCUCAGCUGGUUAGAGCGCUACACUGAUAAUGUAGAGGUCGGCAGUUCGAGCCUGCCAUCUAUUA